UUUUGCUUUACCAAACGAAGGUCUGAAAGAGGGCGGCGAUGGAGAAAGCUGUGGUGGUGACCACGGCGGCGAUUUUCUGCUUCCUACUGCUUUCUGCGGCCACGGUGACCGUCUCCGCCGACGCUGCCGACUGCAUCGACGGCUGCUUCACCGCCUGUGUCCAGAGAGACACGAGACUGAUGCAGCGUUGUGAGGGCAAGUGUAGAAUUAAAUGCGGUCCAGAUAGUAAAGUUGAAGAUAUUACUGAUUGAGAGGGCAACUAGAGAGCUUCAAUGUGAAGGGAAACCAUAGCUUCCUCCAUUGUAAUUAAGAAAGAGAGAUGAGAAAGAAUAACUCUCCUAAGCCAAUGUCAUAUUUGUGGAUGCUACGUGUUGCAUUUUCUACUUUCACAUAGAAUAAGUCUUCUCCCAUGUUGGAUAUAUAUCUAUAUUUAUACUAUAUUAAAAGUAAGAUCUUGAAAAACUA